rnacentral:rRNA from 1 species
AACGAACGCUGGCGGCAGGCCUAACACAUGCAAGUCGAACGAGAGCUUCGGGUGUGGUUGCGCACGCGGGCGUCACGCGUGGGACGCUGGCCUUAGGCUCGGGAUAACUCUCCGUAAGGGGGGCUAAUACAGGGUAAUGUCUUCGAACCAAAGAUAUAUCGCCUUUGGAUGGGCCGGCGUUGGUUUAGCUUGUUGGGAUGGUAAAAGCCUAUCAAGGCGACGCUCCAUAGCUGGUCUGAGAGGAUGAUCAGCCACACUGGGACUGAGACACGGCCCGGAAUCCUGCGGGAGGGAGCAGUGGGGAAUAUUGGACAAUGGGCGAAAGCCUGAUCCAGCAAUGCCGCGUGAGUGAUGAAGUCCUGAGGGUUGUAAAGCUCUUUUACCCGGGAUGAUAAUGACAGUACCGGAAGAAUAAGCACCGGCUAACUCCGUG